rnacentral:rRNA from 1 species
GGUCAUAGACUGUUAAACUGGUUUCCUUGAGUACGCACAAAGUGGGCGGAAUUCGUGGUGUANCGGUGAAAUGCUUANAUAUCACGAANAACUCCGAUUGCGAAGGCAGCUCACUGGAGCGCANCUGACGCUGAAGCUCGAAAGUGCGGGUAUCGAACCGGAUUANAUACCCUGGUAGUCCGCACGGUAAACGAUGGAUGCCCGCUGUUGGUCUGAAUAGGUCANCGGCCAANCGAAAGCAUUAANCAUCCCACCUGGGGAGU